rnacentral:misc_RNA from 1 species
UGCAGUUACAGUUGGCAGAAAGAUUUUGGCAUGUAAGUGAAUGUACAAAAGCAAGAAAAGGCUAUAAAGUCUCCCCAACGUACCAAAAUCUUUCUGCCAACUGUAACUGCACUGUGCUGAAUUUGGAGCACAAAUGAUCAUUGAAAAGAUUCUACUUCACUCAGUUGCAUGGAACCCUUUUCUGCACGCUUAUGUGUUCCUAGAGUCAUCAUGAAAGGCUUGAGCUUGAUCAUUAUAGGAAGCAUGAUGGGUUGACCUCUUCAAUGACAAGGAUUGAAAGAGCAUGUCAGUUGCAACCUGUAGUGGCUCCAUUCGGUGCAUCGUCAUUCCCAUUGGCUGACUUCACAGCUCCCCUGUCAGGAACUUCUGAGGCUUGACCACUAUUUUGCACCAAAGCAGGCUGUUCAAAACGUUCAUUUGUCACUUGGCACUGACUAGAUGUCUGAUUCAUUGAGCUAUUGGCACCACAGUUUUGCAUAGCUUGUGAGUUGAUGUUUUUAAUUGAAUCCUUUGAACUGGAGCCUGGAGCUGAAUCCAAAUUAUCCAUGGGACCUGCCACCCCAACAGCAUUCAGUCCCAUGGUAGUUUUUAAAAGAGGUCCUCCAGACGUUGGCAUUAAGGGUGCACAUGGGUAUGGCAUAGGAUAUCCUUGAGUAGAAAGCCCAAAUAUUGGAAGGUUAGAUCCUCCCAUCCCAUGCAAAGCACUGGGCCCCAACAUUGGUGGGCCAGGAAAAUGUGCUCCAUGCAUAGGAGGCACCUGAACCAUAGAGCAACCAGAGGAUCCACCAAUCAUAUCAGGCAUACCCAUCCCAAAACCCAUUCCGAUUCCCAUUCCCAUUCCAGCUCCCAUGGGUGAGAAUGGAAGCAUAUGAC